GUCAAAGCGUUCAUUAAAGUCGAGUUGGCUUAGGGAUACGUUCGUUGGGUAGGGGAGCGUUCUGUAAGCCUGUGAAGGUGUGUCGUGAGGCAUGCUGGAGGUAUCAGAAGUGCGAAUGCUGACAUAAGUAACGAUAAAGCGGGUGAAAAGCCCGCUCGCCGGAAGACCAAGGGUUCCUGUCCAACGUUAAUCGGGGCAGGGUGAGUCGACCCCUAAGGCGAGGCCGAAAGGCGUAGUCGAUGGGAAACGGGUUAAUAUUCCCGUACUUGGUGUUACUGCGAAGGGGGGACGGAGAAGGCUAUGUUGGCCGGGCGACGGUUGUCCCGGUUUAAGCGUGUAGGUGUGUGUUCCAGGUAAAUCCGGUUCACUUUAACACUGAGGCGUGAUGACGAGGCACUACGGUGCUGAAGCAACAAAUGCCCUGCUUCCAGGAAAAGCCUCUAAGCAUCAGGUA
rnacentral:rRNA from 1 species